rnacentral:rRNA from 1 species
UUCCCGUACUUCUUACAAUUGCGAUGGGGGGACGGAGAAGGCUAGGUGGGCCUGGCGACGGUUGUCCAGGUUCAAGUGCGUAGGCUUAAGAGUUAGGUAAAUCCGGCUCUUUUUAAGGCAGAGACACGACGUCGAGCACCUACGGGUGUGAAGUCAUUGAUGCCAUGCUUCCAGGAAAAGCCUCUAAGCUUCAGAUUGUAAG